rnacentral:rRNA from 1 species
CCUACGGGAGGCAGCAGUGGAGAAUUUUGGACAAUGGGCGCAAGCCUGAUCCAGCCAUGCCGCGUGUGGGAAGAAGGCCUUCGGGUUGUAAACCACUUUUGUCUGGGAAGAAGCGGCUCUUACUAAUAUUAGGAGCUAAUGACGGUACCUGAAGAAUAAGCACCGGCUAACUACGUGCCAGCAGCCGCGGUAAUACGUAGGGUGCAAGCGUUAAUCGGAAUUACUGGGCGUAAAGCGUGCACAGGCGGUUGAGCAAGACCGAUGUGAAAUCCCCGGGCUUAACCUGGGAAUGGCAUUGGUGACUGCACGGCUAGAGUGUGUCAGAGGGGGGUAGAAUUCCACGUGUAGCAGUGAAAUGCGUAGAGAUGUGGAGGAAUACCGAUGGCGAAGGCAGCCCCCUGGGAUAACACUGACGCUCAUGCACGAAAGCGUGGGGAGCAAACAGGAUUAGAUACCCUGGUAGUCCACGCUGUAAACGAUGAGUGCUAGGUGUUGGGGGUAUCAUGCCCUCGGUGCCGAAGUUAACACAUUAAGCACUCCGCCUGGGGAGUACGGUCGCAAGACUGAAACUCAAAGGAAUUGACGG